rnacentral:rRNA from 1 species
AGCGAACGCUGGCGGCAGGCCUAACACAUGCAAGUCGAACGAACCCUUCGGGGUUAGUGGCGGACGGGUGAGUAACGCGUGGGAACGUGCCCUUUGGUACGGAACAGCUGAGGGAAACUCCAGCUAAUACCGUAUGUGCCCUACGGGGGAAAGAUUUAUCGCCAUUGGAGCGGCCCGCGUUGGAUUUGGUAGUUGGUGGGGUAAAGGCCCACCAAGCCGACGAUCCAUAGCUGGUCUGAGAGGAUGAUCAGCCACACUGGGACUGAGACGCGGCCCAGACUCCUACGGGAGGCAGCAGUGGGGAAUCUUGCGCAAUGGGCGAAAGCCUGACGCAGCCAUGCCGCGUGAAUGAUGAAGGUCUUAGGAUUGUAAAAUUCUUUCACCGGGGAAGAUAAUGACGGUACCCGGAGAAGAAGCCCCGGCUAACUUCGUGCCAGCAGCCGCAGUAAAAC